ACACAUGCAAGUCGAACGAGAGAUGAGGAGCUUGCUCUUCAAAUCGAGUGGCGAACGGGUGAGUAACGCGUGAGGAACCUGCCUCAAAGAGGGGGACAACAGUUGGAAACGACUGCUAAUACCGCAUAAGCCCACGGCUCGGCAUCGAGCAGAGGGAAAAGGAGCAAUCCGCUUUGAGAUGGCCUCGCGUCCGAUUAGCUAGUUGGUGAGGUAACGGCCCACCAAGGCAACGAUCGGUAGCCGGACUGAGAGGUUGAACGGCCACAUUGGGACUGAGACACGGCCCAGACUCCUACGGGAGGCAGCAGUGGGGAAUAUUGCACAAUGGGGGAAACCCUGAUGCAGCGACGCCGCGUGGAGGAAGAAGGUCUUCGGAUUGUAAACUCCUGUUGUUGAGGAAGAUAAUGACGGUACUCAACAAGGAAGUGACGGCUAACUACGUGCCAGCAGCCGCGGUAAAACGUAGGUCACAAGCGUUGUCCGGAAUUACUGGGUGUAAAGGGAGCGCAGGCGGGAGAACAAGUUGGAAGUGAAAUCCAUGGGCUCAACCCAUGAACUGCUUUCAAAACUGUUUUUCUUGAGUAGUGCAGAGGUAGGCGGAAUUCCCGGUGUAGCGGUGGAAUGCGUAGAUAUCGGGAGGAACACCAGUGGCGAAGGCGGCCUACUGGGCACCAACUGACGCUGAGGCUCGAAAGUGUGGGUAGCAAACAGGAUUAGAUACCCUGGUAGUCCACACCGUAAACGAUGAUUACUAGGUGUUGGAGGAUUGACCCC
rnacentral:rRNA from 1 species